UGCGAUUUGAUUCGAUCGAUCCGUUUGUUCUUGGGUCGCCUGUGUGGAGUGAUUCGUGGGUUGGCGACUUGGCGCAUGCUUCUAACUAUGACAGUUGAUAAGGAUGAAACCCGAUCAGUGCUCGACGAUAUUUCGAACAAGCGUCAAGUGGGGAAAUCAGCUCGAACUCCUCAGUUGCUCUGGAUCUGCUUCGCUGAGACUUUUCUCUGAAAUUCAACAUGUCCAAAUGAAUGUGAGUGACCCUCUAUUUUUAAGACUUUUUAUGGGGGUAAUCUGAUCAUUAAGGUCGUAACCGCCUAACUGUCCAGAUCUGGUUUUAAGUCGACAUUAUGGGAUCGACUUUUCCAAAGGUCGACUUCUGAAAAGUCGAUCCGGGUAAAGUCGACCUGUAAAAGUCGACUUGAAACCUUCCCCAACCUAUAUGGGUAUCUCCAUUCACCUCGGGCUAUCCGAAUCCUUAGUUGCUGGUAUUGUGACCAAGUUCAGAAUAUUGUAUCACCAGUACUUCUCCCUUCUCUACAUGUCAGGUUUUUCGAGAGAUACCUUUUAGUACUAUGGUAUGUGUGUCUGACCUUGUAUUAUCAGUAUUCCCCUCUUUUGCAUGAUGUGACAGGUACUGCUGGUGAUAUCUUUGGAUGCAUGAUCCUGUAUCACCAGUGAUUACAAACUAACUUCUACAUGUUAAUCGAUCCUGUAUCACCAGUGAUUACAAACUAACUUCUACAUGUUAAUCUUCUCAACUACCAACUGUAUCAAAUUAUGUUCGGUUAUUGAGUAGUCCGAUGGGCGAGGGCAUGGGCGUGGGCUUAGUUUCUUGGAUGGUUGUUUCGACGAAGCUAAUUAAAUUAUUUUUCCAAUUCUGUGUUGGUUGAAAAUUCUUUCUCUAAAGACUUGUCGAUUAUCUAAGGAUUGCCAUUUGCUAAAGCUAUUCACAAUUCUACAUUUGAUAACACCUCUUGAUCUCUAUGCGUGCAUGCGUCAACUCGAUUCGCAAGUUCCAUUUUUAAUUUAAGUUCUGAUGAUACCCUAAAUACUGAGCCUAAGCCUUAUUUUCACAAUUUGGGCAUCAAAGGGUCCAAAACCCGGCCUGAUGACUUAACAAGAAACUCUAAGCCUAACAAGUGAAUCAAGAACCCUAAGAGUUCAACCAAGCUCGUUAGUAUGAACGGUAUGAUCUAGUAUAUGAAAAUCACUACCAUUUAAAGAGAAUCAAUGACUGAUCAUUUUCUUCAUCUUUUGUUUGGAUUUUUUCACAAGAUAAUCCUAAAUAUUCUAAAUUCCAAACUUGAAUAACUCAAGGAUUAAAAAUGUCGACGAUCGAUCGAUCAUGGACGGUGAUUUUUUUUAAGUUAUCUUCCAUCAUGGAUAAUUCAUUAAACAAUAUCAUCAUUCAUCUCAAACCAAGUAUUUCAAUUUUCAAUUUGGCUUUGUCAUAGAUUAAGUUAAGAUUUGGUGUUAAAUAGUUAAUUGUUUAUUACAGAAAAAGAUCUGGUGCGACUAGGGUGUCAAACGAGUCAAGUUUUUGUUUAUAGAGUCGGGUUUGGCUCGUUAAGGCAUUGUCUGGGCUCAGACUCGACUCAGCUCGGUUUUGUCUCGAACUUGAAAUUUAAUUUGCAAUUCUGUAAAUUAAAAGAAAAA
rnacentral:lncRNA from 1 species